rnacentral:rRNA from 1 species
AGUCGCGAAAACUUCACACUGGGGGAAACCCCGAUGAGGGAAUUCCUAGUGCUAGGAGGUUUGUUCGAGCUUUUCUCUGAUUUGUAGAUAACUAGAGGAAUAAGGAGCUGGGUAAGACGGGUAGCCGCCGCGGUAAUACA